rnacentral:rRNA from 1 species
GUGGGGAAUAUUGGACAAUGGGGGGAACCCUGAUCCAGCCAUGCCGCGUGUGUGAAGAAGGCCUUUUGGUUGUAAAGCACUUUAAGCGAGGAGGAGGCUACCGAGAUUAAUACUCUUGGAUAGUGGACGUUACUCGCAGAAUAAGCACCGGCUAACUCUGUGCCAGCAGCCGCGGUAAUACAGAGGGUGCAAGCGUUAAUCGGAUUUACUGGGCGUAAAGCGCGCGUAGGUGGCCAAUUAAGUCAAAUGUGAAAUCCCCGAGGUUAACUUGGGAAUUGCAUUCGAUACUGGUUGGCUAGAGUAUGGGAGAGGAUGGUAGAAUUCCAGGUGUAGCGGUGAAAUGCGUAGAGAUCUGGAGGAAUACCGAUGGCGAAGGCAGCCAUCUGGCCUAAUACUGACACUGAGGUGCGAAAGCAUGGGGAGCAAACAGGAUUAGAUACCCUGGUAGUCC